AAACCUACAACUCACCUCCCAUUUGCUGACUGCCUUCAUCAGCACAAACCAGCCUGAACCAGACAACAGAAUACAUCUCAGCAGAGCACAAGGCAAAGGAAACUUAAAUCAAAACCCAAUAUUCGGAAGAAUGGAUCCCAGCCAGUCUUUUAAUCAGCCUCCAGGGGCCUGGAAUUCAUCUGAAAAAUCAGUGAUGUUGUAUCCUUCGGCACCACCACCAGCAUACCAGGCCAAUCCUGCUGGAUAUCCUCCCUCCUUUCCAAGCCAGCCAUUCCCCCAAGGCCCCUACGCCCAGGGGCCGUAUCCAGGACAGCCCAUGGUUGCUGUACAGCCUGCAGUUUUUGUGACAGCCGCUCCACUGGCUAGUCAAGUGCCAGAUUACUUGGGUUACUCUAUUUUUACCAUGCUGUGCUGCUGUUUUCCUCUGGGCAUUGCUGCAAUUAUUUUCUCCUGCUCUGCUCGAAACGCCAACUUCUCUGGACAGCGACAAUUAGCAGAGAGUAACUCCAAAACGGCGCUCAACCUGAAUCAUGCUGCCCUUGGUAUUGGCCUCAUUGUCAUUGUACUGUUGAUUAUUGUUAAUAUUGUGCUUUGAGUUGAUAAAAGCUAAUAGAGCUGUCAUGGUUGGAUGUAGAUUACAAACAGAUUUGAUUCUAUGCAUUGCAAAUGCUGUUUGCUCAAUGUAUCAUUAUAGCCUACUUACAACAUAUGCUUUAAGGCUGAUUAUUGUAUGUUUAGACUUUUUUUUGCUUAUCUUGUGUGCAGCUGUGCUAAUUUGAGCUUUUUACAUAAAUUUUUAUUAUGUACAUGUACUGACAUAAAAUAUAUUCACUGAUUAUAUCUUUCAAAUUACUGUACGUGAAUUCUUUUGUCACUCACACACAACCAGUGGCGGCUCGUCGGGGGAGGCAGGGGAGGCACAGCUUCCCCAUAAUUUUGAGGUGAAAAUGGGAGGAGGACGAUUUAAUGUUAAUAAAAUUCACAAUUCAUUUUUAGUUCAUGUCUCAGAAUGUGUAUUUUUUUGUUAGUAAUUUCACAGUUGUAAUACCAUAACGUGAAAGUGCCGCUUUUCUAUCGCGAAUGUGCCGAAUCUGCUGAUGUAAUUACAACCGCU
rnacentral:lncRNA from 1 species